rnacentral:rRNA from 1 species
UGAUCAAGCUACAAAGAGCGCAUCAUGGAUGCCUUGGUGCCAAUAGGCGAUGAAGGACGUGGCAAGCUGCGAUAAGCUACGGAGAGCGGCAAACACGCUUUGACCCGUAGAUUUCCGAAUGGGAUAACCUGAGUGGGGUAACACCUGCUCGAGCUUCUGUGAAUACAUAGCAGAAGCAUCGCGACACCCGGCGAAGUGAAACAUCUCAGUAACCGGAGGAAGAGAAAGCGAAUGCGAUUCCGUCAGUAGUGGCGAGCGAAAGCGGAAGAGGCUAAACCCGUCGAUUUAUCGAUGGGGGUUGUAGGAGCCCGACGUGGUAGUGCAAAGGUUAGGUGAAGCUUCUGGAAAGCUGCGCCAUAGAGGGUGAAAGGCCCGUAACCGAAAACUGGAGCACGCCUAGGGAUUUCCUGAGUAAUACGAUGCACGUGAAACUUCGUAUGAAUCUGCGCCGACCACGGCGUAAGCCUAAAUACUAAUUGGCGACCGAUAGUGAACCAGUACCGCGAGGGAAAGGUGAAAAGAACCGCUGUGAGCGGAGUGAAAUAGUACCUGAA